UACGUAGGGUGCGAGCGUUGUCCGGAUUUAUUGGGCGUAAAGAGCUCGUAGGCGGUUCGGUAAGUCGGAUGUGAAAUCUCCACGCUCAACGUGGAGGGGCCAUUCGAUACUGCCGUGACUCGAGUCCGGUAGGGGAGUGUGGAAUUCCCGGUGUAGCGGUGAAAUGCGUAGAUAUCGGGAGGAACAUCAGUGGCGAAAGCGGCACCCUGGCAUUAGCCUGACGCUCAGGUGCGAAAGCGUGGGGAGCGAACGGG
rnacentral:rRNA from 1 species